GUUCAGGAGGGCCCUAGACUUACUACAGCUCUAUGGAUGUUACAUAGGGGCGGUGUUCAGGAGGGCCCUAGACUUACUACAGCUCUAGAGGUUACAUAGGGGCGGUGUUCAGGAGGGCCCUAGACUUACUACAGCUCUAUGGAGGUUAAAUAGGGGCGGUGUUCAGGAGGGCCCUAGACUUACUACAGCUCUAUGGAAGUUACAUAGGGGCGGUGUUCAGGAGGGCCCUAGACUUACUACAGCUCUAUGGAGGUUACAUAGGGGGGGUGUUCAGGAGGGCCCUAGACUUACUACAGCUCUAUGGAAGUUACAUAGGGGCGGUGUUCAGGAGGGCCCUAGACUUACUACAGCUUUAUGGAAGUUACAUAGGGGCGGUGUUCAGGAGGGCCCUAGACUUACUACAGCUCUAUGGAGGUUACAUAGGGGCGGUGUUCAGGAGGGCCCUAGACUUACUACAGCUCUAUGGAGGUUACAUAGGGGCGGUGUUCAGGAGGGCCCUAGACUUACUACAGCUCUAGAGGUUACAUAGGGGCGGUGUUCAGGAGGGCCCUAGACUUACUACAGCUCUAGAGGUUACAUAGGGGCUGUGUUCAGGAGGGCCCUAGACUUACUACAGCUCUAGAGGUUACAUAGGGGCGGUGUUCAGGAGGGCCCUAGACUUACUACAGCUCUAGAGGUUACAUAGGGGCUGUGUUCAGGAGGGCCCUAGACUUACUACAGCUCUAGAGGUUACAUAGGGGCGGUGUUCAGGAGGGCCCUAGACUUACUACAGCUCUAGAGGUUACAUAGGGGCUGUGUUCAGGAGGGCCCUAGACUUACUACAGCUCUAUAGGUUACAUAGGGGCGGUGUUCAGGAGGGCCCUAGACUUACUACAGCUCUAUGGAAGUUACAUAGGGGCGGUGUUCAGGAGGGCCCUAGACUUACUACAGCUCUAGAGGUUACAUAGGGGCGGUGUUCAGGAGGGCCCUAGACUUACUACAGCUCUAUGGAGGUUAAAUAGGGGCGGUGUUCAGGAGGGCCCUAGACUUACUACAGCUCUAUGGAAGUUACAUAGGGGCGGUGUUCAGGAGGGCCCUAGACUUACUACAGCUCUAUGGAGGUUACAU